AUUGAACGCUGGCGGCAGGCCUAACAUAUGCAAGUCGAGCGGAGCGGCGGACGGGUGAGUAAUGCCUAGGAAUCUGCCUGGUAGUGGGGGAUAACGUCCGGAAACGGGCGCUAAUACCGCAUACUCUCAGUGGAGCAUAGGUCGGAUUAGCAAGUUGGUGGGGUAAAGGCCUACCAAGGCGACUAUCCGUAACUGGUCUGAGAGGAUGAUCAGUCAAACUGGAACUGAGACACGGUCCAGACUCCUACUGGAGGCAGCAGUGGGGAAUAUUGGACAAUGGGCGAAAGCCUGAUCCAGCCAUGCCGCGUGUGUGAAGAAGGUCUUCGGAUUGUAAAGCACUUUAAGUUGGGAGGCGUUACCAACAGAAUAAGCACCGGCUAACUUCGUGCCAGCCGCCGCGGUAAUUC
rnacentral:rRNA from 1 species